GUAGGGAAUAUUGGGCAAUGGUCGGAAGACUGACCCAGCCAUGCCGCGUGCAGGAUGAAGGCGCUCAGCGUUGUAAACUGCUUUUGAUCGGGAAGAACGGCCGGGGUGCGCCCUGGUGUGACGGUACCGACAGAAUAAGCACCGGCUAACUCCGUGCCAGCAGCCGCGGUAAUACGGAGGGUGCAAGCGUUGUCCGGAUUUAUUGGGUUUAAAGGGUGCGUAGGUGGCUUUUUAAGUCAGACCUGAAAGUGGGCCGCUUAACGGCACAGGGUGGUUUGAUACUGAAGAGCUUGAAGAGGGUGGAGGCCGCCGGAACGGAUCGUGUAGCGGUGAAAUGCAUAGAGAUGAUCCAGAACCCCGAUUGCGAAGGCAGGCGGCUACGCCCCACUUGACACUGAGGCACGAGAGCAUGGGGAGCAAACAGGAUUAGAAACCCUAGUAGUCC
rnacentral:rRNA from 1 species